rnacentral:rRNA from 1 species
GAUGAACGCUGGCGGCGUGCCUAAUACAUGCAAGUCGAGCGAACAGACGAGGAGCUUGUUCCCCUGACGUUAGCGGCGGACGGGUGAGUAACACGUGGAUAACCUACCUAUAAGACUGGGAUAACUUCGGGAAACCGGAGCUAAUACCGGAUAAUAUAUUGAACCGCAUGGUUUAAUAGUGAAAGACGGUUUUGCCGCCACCAAUAGAUGGAUCCGCGCAUCAUUGGCUAGUUGGUAAGGUAACGGCUUACCAAGGCAACGAAGCGAGGCCGACCGAGGGGGGGGUUCGGCCACACUGGAACUGGAACACGGUCCAGACUCCUACGGAGGGCGGCGUUGGGGAACUUUCCGCAUGGAGCGAAGUCCUACCGGGGCAACGCGGCGGAGUUGAGGAAGGUUUUCGGUUCGAAAGACUCUGUUAUUGGGAAGAACCAGAGGUGUAAGUAAAUGUGCACGUCGUGACGGUACCUAAUCAGAAAGCCACGGCUAACUACGUG